CACUCUAGCGUAUAUAAUAAGCCGCACAGAAACCUAAUUUGUAUUCCUGAUAGAAGCUGUGGUAUAAUGACACUUCUCGGACUGUACAUAUGUUGUAUCGCACUGAUGGUGAUGUGUACGUCUACAUACAUCAAUGCUCAAAACAGAAUACCUAUUGAUGAACUUCCGGUUUGCGAUGAACAUGAUGAGUUGGAGGAAAUUUUAAGCUUAGUUCCUGGAUUAUCUGCGUUAAAAAGGGCUCCCAAAUCCUAUCCGUAUGACAAAAUGAUGCUGAGGAGAUUUUCUGGUCCUUUCUCUGAAAAUAUACCACUGCCUUGGUCAUGUAGCAUGACACCGGUCUGGCGGGAUCUUGGUGAUGAUCAUUUCCCGCGCUUUGUCCGGGAUGGCACGUGCAAUAACAGUACCUGCUGGUACAGGCAUUACGAGUGUCGACCUGUGCUAUAUUCCCUGAAUAUUUUGCAGAGACAGAAUAACGAAUGUUUUGACGAAUCACUCCCCGGGACACUGGCGACAGAUUGGAGAAUGCGAACCGUCACAGUUACAAGCAGCUGCAUGUGCCAAAGGGUGUGAAUUGACAACAUUACAUUGUGUGUUUGGGCAGUUUUAUAGACCCGGUUAAAUUCCGUCUGAUAAACAUCAAUCAAUCAUAGUUGUGUUGUGAGAUUAUAAGCUAUGUCAAAAACACAGAUAAAGAAAAUAACAGUUGUUAUAACAAAAUGGAUAUUUUCAGAAUGACUUAUCAUUACAAAGGUAAUUUUAAUAAUAAUAACUGUAUACAUGGGAAUCAGUUGGUAAUGUUGAUACCGGCGGCCUUCACCUGAGAUUACGUGGCAGACGCUACAGCGGACUGAGCUAUCGUAGUCUCCAGCAUUCUAAGUUAGAAGAGUUUUUGUUAACCGUCAGACGAGUUACAAUACAUAUUUAUCAUCAUAGUAAACUAUCUGGCGGCGCACAGCAACUCUUCUAUUUUAAUAUAACUUCCUGGUGUGUCCUGUUCUCACUGAUGGUACCUCGUGUAUUUGUUAUUAAGUGAAAUAAGACAGCAUUCUCUUUGCUAAUGAACACAUACCUUCUUAAGUUACUUUCCUGUAAGGCACACUUUCGGGACUUAUAUUAAGAUAAGUUUCUAUCACAUUUAAUAGGAAUCGAGAAAAGUUACCUUAGAUUGACAGUUGUACAAGUACUGCACAAUACAUGGUUUGGUUUUGUUUUCAAAAUUAGAAAGGAUCAGCUUACCGCAAUUUUCACUUCGUCAACUCCUUGUGGUAAUCUGGUAUCCAAUAUAAUCCAAAAGUACAUCACGCUUUCCAAACUUAACAAGCUAUUGAAAAAAGUAUAUCAAGGAAGCUUUAUUUACAUUAUAUACAACUUGUGUGUAUUGCAAUGAAUAUAUCCCUUCUGAUCGGACCUGCAUCUGUUGAAGAGAUAUGGAUCACCUGUGAUGAGGCUUAGAUCCAGAUCAAUUUGAUGGUCAUGAGGAACCCAUCUAGUGCAUUCAUCACAUCCAAACCAAGUCAAGAAAUUGAAUCAUGUUAUGCAAAUUUCACAGAUGGUCUGACUCUCUUCGACAUCACUAGAAGUAUCAUCUGAUGAAAGUUUCACCUUUUUAUCCUUUUGAUUUUUCAUUGUUACCACAUCAGAGUGUGGAGAAGUUUAGGUACAAAUCCCUUCGUAAGUCACUUUGCUGUUUAUGUAUAAAUCCCUUUGUUACGGUUUGGAGUGAAUUUGAUUACCAAAAUUAUAAAUUCGAUGAUGAUGAUGAUGAUGAUGAUGAUGUAUCGUAUGGGAGAAUUGUAAAAAAGGUAAGAACGAAAUUAACCCAUUAGCUACUUCAAAUAUAACUGUAUCAUUUGGUAUUUUCAGUCGCUCACGCUCUAUUAAAGGGGAACAACUCU